AGAAAGUACAACAAGAACUGCUAACUCAUUGUAACCGUACUUAAAAAUACGGCUUUCUU
rnacentral:tRNA from 1 species